CAGGUGAAUUCAGCAGCCAAGUGGGAGCGGCAGGUGCUGGUCGGCUUGAGUUUCAACCUCAUCCUUCAUAUGUGCCUGCUUUGAGACUUUGGCAAUAACCUACGAAAUAGUGGGAUAUACGCACAAAGAUCCACGUGCCAGGAUAUAUGUUGGAGGAUUUAUAUUUGGAGAAAAUUAAAUGCGCAAUGAGAGGACAUCAAGGCCUGUGGACAUUGUGAAAGUUUCCCUUUAAGUUAUGACGGGAAUCCUGAACAGCGCUGUAUGGACCCCUCCGUGGGUAGCAGGGAAAGCGAGUAGACUUGUUUUCUAAAACUCCCAAGGAUGGACUCCAUGGACAGCAUCACAGGGAGACCAACGUGCACUCCAAAUUAAGAAGAAUCUCCUAGCUUUCCAAAGAGGGGAAGGCUGAAGCUCAAAGAAGCAAAGCAACUCUCUGCAGUCACAGAAGUGAUAAACUGAGGAGCUGGAAUUCCAGAGUCCAAGCUGGUGACGAGCACGGUGAACUCCUCUUCUCUGGCCACCACCCCACUCUACAACAGCGUGUACAAAUUAUGGCCAUGGCCAGAUCCAGCUGGCCACCUGUUUCUGUGCUGUUCCCAAGGAAGUACGGGACGGAAAUUAAAGGAGAAAAUGGUUCCACAGGUUUGGUGGCUACAAAAAGAUUUCCUCGAUAAACACUGCCCCCAGUCACUCAUUUGUGAAUGCUGCGUGAUGUGAAAUUAAACUCGGGCAGAGGUGC